rnacentral:lncRNA from 1 species
AGAGCAGGAUCUGACUACGGAUGAAAUCAAACGAAAAAGAAGAACGACAUCCACCCUGCUAAUUCCAGGCUCCCCGACCCGGAACCUAUCCCAUGAUUGAAGAAGAAGAAGAAGAAGAGGAACUCCAAACAAGCAAGCACCGCACUCGCGUCAGAUCAUCGCUUUACCUGUACCUGCAACUGUUGUUGUAGUAAUCCGUGAGCCACGAGGACUCACCAAUCCCAUUACCAUGGGUACCAAGACUAGCAAAGCUUAAUGGGUAUGGAAAGGAUAAGUGGUGCGAUUGCAGCACGCGACUAAGCAUUGUAUGGUGGCUAACUUACGAAUACAAGAGUAAGAUGAGAAACCACGCAAACGGUCGCAAACUACUAAUGAUCAAUAAGUGAUCCGGAACUACUUACGUUCAAACAUAACCCCACCGUGUUCUCUUCUCGAACUCAUUCGAAAAGAGACCAUCACGGUUACACACGCGGUUGGUGUAUUUUAAUUCAAAUCUGGUGUUAAGUUCUCUACAACCGGACAUUAAAAAUUCCCAAUUGCCACAUAACUGUGGGCACGGCUUUCGAAAGUUUAAACCCUGCAGGGGUGUCCCAACUUAGCCCAUGACAAGCUCACGAUCCGCGGAGACAAUCCUCCAUUGCCGGACCCUCCGAUCAGACUCGGAAUCCCGGUGCACAAGACAUUUCGACAAUGGUAAAACUAAUCCAGCAAGACCUCCUGGCGUGCCGACACCCUGAUAGUAGCCGCGCAUAUCUCGUCUCAGGCCACGUCCGGAUGGGUCAAGCUACGAGUAAAAUCAGAUCCUCGGGUUUCCCCGUGGUGGCCCCGCAGGUUGCCCAGUUGGGACCAACACCAACAAUGCUGGCCCCCUGUAUUAUGUUGAAUUACUCUUCGGGUAGCGCUAACUCCCUAUGCGUCAAAUUUAAUAUCAAGUUUAGUUAUUAUGUGGGGCAAAUGGUAAAACCAAUGUUGGGCCUUGCUGGAAGAGUUUUGUUCAAAGCGAACUGUCAAGAGAGGCCCAUAAACCCUCAUCGUGUUAGGGACGCAAAAUCAAGGAACAUAACACCGGUAUGACAGAAACUAGGGCGGCAAGAGUGGAACAAAACACCAGACAAAAGGUCGAGCCUUCCACCCUUUACCAAGUUUAUAGAUGCAUUAAUUGAAUAACAGAUAUUUUGAUAUCCCAUGAUAUUCAUGUCCCAACAUGGAACAACUUCAACUACACCUGCAACUAGCAACGCCAUAAGAGGGGCUGAGCAAAGCGGUAACAUAGCCGAACAACGGUUUGCUAGGAAGGGUGAAAAGGUUAGAGGCUAUCAUUGCAAUUUGGGAGGCUUGAUAAACAAGUGGUAGGUAGCGCGACAUAGCGAUAGCAUCAAGACAACUAGCAUAGCAAAGAUAGUAGUGAGAUCCAAGGUGACGCUCAGUGGCGGAGCUUGACAAGGAUCGAUGGGGGGGCAAGUAGAAAAUAUGAACUUUUGUGGGAGCCAAGUAUAAUAUUUCUUCUAGUGUAUUUUGACCACAAAAAAAAUUCUUCACUAGUUUACCCCAACCUGGGGGGGCCAUGGCCCUUGCAGCGUUGCACUAAGCUCCGCCAGUGGUGACGCUCAUCUUGCCUGAAAUCCGGCUAGGAAGAAGACAGAAUCCAUGAAGUAGUCAAACAACAUAGUCGAAUGGAUCCUCACAAUCGCAACGAAACCGUGAACUAUCAAGAAGAAGCAACACCGGAAAGAAGCAAACAACAUGAUAAACAACCAUCACAUCAACAUGGCACGAUGCAUAAUCAAGUAUGAUACAUGUCCGGUUUAAUGAGUCAUCGCAUGACAAAGUGCAACAAACAACACCACAAGUUAAGUGGAGUUCAAUAUGCAACGAGUUGCAUAUUGACGAAACACCACAUUUAAUUAUUUAGGUCACUCUUGUUUAAGCUACUCAACAAUGUUAAAUGAUGUUAAACAUGGCAAGAGGUGAAGCACAAUAAAACUACCUAUCUAGGAAAGUUUAAAUGAGGCCGGAACAAUAAACAACAAUUCCGGUAAUUCCCCAUGUCAUUUAGCAACUUAAUGCAAACAACAGUUUUAAACAAUUUAAAUGUUGUUAUCAUGAUGCGGAUGAUAUAUACAAGUUUUAUGCAAUUUUAAGAAAAUGUCGACAUGAGCAUGUUAUGGGGCAUUUGGUCACCGUGGUGGAAGGAAAGGGGUGCCACAGCGAUGAAUCCAAAAAAAAUGAUGCCACGGCAACAUAUCGGUUAUCCGGCAACUCGUGGAGAUGCCGAUGCAAAAGAAGGGUGGCGGGAGUGUGUCAUGCAAAGAUGGUGGGGUGCUUCCGGAUACCGGGUUCCCACAUGUCAGUGGCAUGGAAACGAGGAGGAACGUGCAAGUGACAACUCAGACAUGGUGCAAACACGGGCAUCUCAUACAUUACACAUGCAUUCGUUCACAGGCGUUGUCUUGGGGUUAUACCUUUGAAGCAUGCAUUCGGGAUGGAUCGAGUUCGUCGAAGGAAGUAGUGGUAGACGGGCCGUAGUGGAAGUAGUUGUUGUCACGACGAUAGUGGAAGUAGUGGUACACGCUACGGUAGUCGAACUUGCUGCUUGUGGUACACGGAUCUUCGGCGACGGUAGUCGUACCCACGUUGUAGUCGAACUUGGCGGGUCGUUGUGUAGUCGUUCACUUGACGGUCUUGUCGGGUCCACGACGAGGGUAGAGCUACACUUGUUGGAGAGGGACUUGGCGCAUCCUUGUUCUUUCAGGUUCGUAGUUGUACUUGGCGUUCAGCCGGGUCUUGCCGGUGGUGUACUUGGCGAACCGGUGGUGUUUGGUGGCAAAGGAUCUCGUGCUCACAUAACAACGGAGGCGCUGGACGCACACGCGUGGUGGAGGCCUCAGACAGGAAGUUGCGUGUCCAGUCGGUGGAGUUGCAGCAGAGCAGGCAAAGGGUUGCAGGGGCCCGCUGCAAAGGCAGAGCAGCAGCAUGGUGAUGAGCCCACGGCGGCUACCAUGGAGCCGGCGGCCAGAGUUUGAAGGCGAGCAGGGCAAGGCAAAAGGAAGGGGAGGCUGAUCAGGAUGUGGACGAGGAAGACGCGGUCAACGGGCGAAGCAGGACAUGGCUCUGGUUGUCGUCCUCGAGUGCUCGCAGAAGCAGGGAAGCGACGCGGCGAACUUGGCGCGGAGGAAGGAGGUCCUGCGGUGGCCCAAGGGCAUAGGGCGUCUGGGAGGCCGGAUCCGGUCGCCGGGGUCCCGUUCCCUGCUGGAUCGAAGCGGAGGCAGGCCGGCGGACUUGGAGCACCAGGCGGUGGCGGCUUCCAUGACUGGACUCGAAGGGGACGCAAGGGACGGGCGCGGCGAGGCGGAGGGAGAUGGGCGGCUCUGGCCGGUCGUCCGGGUCGCGGAGGACGGUGGGGAGGCGCGGCACUGGGGCCUGCUGGUCGGGUGCUCGAGGUGGCCGGUUGGAAAAGGAAGGCAUGGGUAGGGAGGCCCUGGUGGGGUGGUCGACGGCAGCAAGGUGCGGCGGCGGGGCGAGGUGUCCAGCUCGGGAAGGAGGGGAUCGGGACGAGGGGUGCAGCGCGUGUGGGUGGCGGCGCGAGGGAGAUGGAGAUCGAGGAGAGGGAGGCAGAAGCCUCGCUAGGUUAAAACAAGGGAGCCGACUGGGCUGUGUUGGAAUCUCUCUCCCUCUUAAUUAUCUUUCUUCUAAAAAACAGAGAUAAGAUAGAAAAUAGAAAAUAAAGAGAGGUUAGGGAUGGAGCUUGAGCAGGAGGGUAUUUGUCUCAGACUCACAAAAAUGAGCUUGAUCCAAGAAAAUAGAAGUUGGCAUGAAUGCAAGCUUUAAAUUCAAACUCAUUUGAAUAUAAUUCAAAUGGGUUUGAACUAGGGCUUGGUAAAAGGAAGGUCCAAAAAAAUGUUGGGAAUUUUGGUGGAGAUUGGAAAAGUGAUGAAAUAGAUUAUGGGCAAACUUGAGGUCAAGGAUUUAGAUAGAAAGGCAUGGGAUUCAUUUGCAAGUGUGUUAUGGUUAAUUCCAAAACAAUGGAGUAUUUAUUAUAGCUCCCUAAAUAUCGAGAUGAUAUGUUAUAAAGAGAAAUCACCAUGUGAAUUCCCUCGAUUUAAAUAGAUCAACAAUCUAUGCAAUUUAUUUAGCUGGGUUUUAAAAGGGGUGCAAGAUGACAUGAUGCAAUGCACAUGAUGCAAAGAUGAAUGCAACGAACAAAACAAAUCACACGACGAAUCUCGGAAUCCAUGGAAGGCAUCUGGAGCGCCGGUCUUGGGGCAUCACAACUCUCCUCCACUUACAAGAGAUCUCGACCCGAGAUCUAAGGAUGGCACCGGGGAGAAACUGAAGAGGAAGAGGUAAAACAAAGUUGCUUCUUUGACAAACGAGUGAAACCAAUGAACCUGGAGAGGUUGAAAACUUGAAAGAAAUAAGACAACAGAGUUGAACGAAGUUGAGAGACUCCGGUAGAAAGAGAAACAAGGAACACCAUGUGAACCUUGGAGGUUGCAAAGCUAUGAAUGACGAGCACAAUGGACAAGAAGGAAUUGAAACCACUCUGGUUGAAACAAGAUAAACAAGGAACAAGGAAGAACAAAUUCGGACAACACUCCGGUUGAAAAGAGAUGCGAGACUUGAUAAGAUGAAAAGAACUUGAGCAGAGGACACAACACUCCUGCUAAACGGAUAAACAAGGAAAAGAACAUGAUAUUUACAAAAUGAGAUGAUGGGUCGAAGAGAGUAACAUCACAAUGCCUCCGGAAUAAAUGUAAGAAUGGAAUAAAAAGAACGGAGAAGAAAACAACAUGUUCUACCUUAAAUGAAUUUAAGAGGGCAUCCUUAAAAAGAAGGAUUGAACGGAGUUGUUGGAAGAUCAUUACGAAAGGAUAUGAUCCUCGUGGGCUUAUGGAGACAUCUCAAAAUUAUGAGGUGACAACCAGCCACUACCAAAAGAUUGAUUUGAGUGAGAGCACCAAAGGGAUGAAAAACUUCUUUCACCGCGAGAAUAGGAGGAAACUUGGAUUAUCGAUAGACACCACAAUAAGCAACAUUCCUUGGGGAAGGCUUUAAGUGAAAUCCAUACCAAGAUAACACCAACAAAUAAAUUAUGACGGGUUCAAACAACUCAUGAGCGAAAAGAAAAUGAUGAUUUUAAAAUAUCUCAUUCCUGACAAGUUGUGAAUCAUGAAGCACGAACUCAAGUGGUCAAGAAUGACAUGACACCACCUCAGAAGAUAAGGUAAAUAAUUGCACUUCGGAAUGCAAGAUGAAGAAUGCUUGAACUCCUCAAAGCAAAACAUGUGUUGAACACCAUGUUUAUUUUAGAGUAUAGCUUGGCGGAUCUUAACUUCGAGAGAAAUCUUGCAGAACAGUUGAAGAAUGAAAGGAAUCCUUGAUGAACCACCAUGUUGAGCCUCUCGAAGAAUUCCGGAUAGGUAACAAGAUGGUCGCAAAGAAAUAAAGCUUGAAAAGAAUAAGAUGAAGCCUUGCAAUGAUUUAGAUGGAACUUCGCGACGAGAUAAUUGAGAGCUUGGAACUCCGGAAACAAAAGAUGGAAAACUUAGCACCGACAAAUUGAUAUCAUGAACGAACUCCGGAAGAAGGAAUUAAUCACUUGGAUGAAGCAAGAAUAAGAAUUAUGUUAUGCUCAUCCUUCACCAAUUUAAAUUGAUGACAAGCAACGGAUUUGGCAUACUACUUAUUCUUCUUGAAAAGAUUGAAGAGAUAUAGCCAAGCUUGGAAAGAUCUUUGCUACCUCUUGAGCAUGCGUUGGUUUUCCCUUAAAGAGGAAAGGGUGAUGCAGCAAAGUAGCGUAAGUAUUUCCCUCAGUUUUUGAGAACCAAGGUAUUAAUCCAGUAGGAGACUACACGCAAGUCGCCUAGUACCUGCACAAACAAUCAAGAACCUUGCAACCAAUGCGAUAAAGGGGUUGUCAAUCCCUUCACGGCCACUUGCAAAAGUUAGAUCUGAUAAAGAUAAUAAGAUAAAUAUUUUUGGUAUUUUUGUUGUAUAGAUUGGAAAAUAAAGAUUGCAAAAUAAAUAGUAAACUAGAAUUAUAGAUCGGAAACAUAUAUGAUGUAAAUUAGACCCGGGGGCCAUAGGUUUCACUAGUGGCUUCUCUCAUGAUAGCAUGUAUUACGGUGGGUGAACAAAUUACUGCCGAGCAAUUGAUAGAAAAGUGCAUAGUUAUGAUGAUAUCGAAGCCAAUGAUCAUGAACAUAGGCAUCACGUCCGUGUCAAGUAGACCGAAACGAUUCUGCAUCUACUACUAUUACUCCAUACAUCGACCGCUAUCCAGCAUGCAUCUAGAGUAUUAGGUUCAUAAGAACGGAGUAACGCAUUAGGCAAGAUGACAUGAUGUAGAGGGAUAAACUCAAGCAAUAUGAUGUAAACCCCAUCUUUUUAUCCUCGAUGGCAACAAUACAAUACGUGUCGGUUCCCUUUCUGUCACUGGGAUCGAGCACCGCAAGAUUGAAACCAAAGCUAAGCACUUCUCCCAUUGCAAGAAAGAUCAAUCUAGUAGGCCAAACUAAACCGAUAAUUCGAAGAGACUUGCAAAGAUAUCAAAUCAUGCAUAUAAAAAUUCAGAGAAGAACCAAAUAAUAUUCAUAGAUAAUCAAGUUCAUAAACCCACAAUUCAUCGGAUCUCGGCAAACACACCGCGAAAGAGUAUUACAUCUAAUAGAUCUCCAAAAACAUCGAGGAGAACUUUGUAUUGAGAACCAAAGAGAGAGAAGAAGCCAUCUAGCUAAGAAGUAUGGACCCGAAGGUCUGUGGUGAACUACUCACACAUCAUCGGAGAGGCUAUGGUGUUGAUGUAGAAGUCCUGUGUGAUCGAAUGGCCCUCCGGCAGAUCUCCGGAAAAGGCCCCAAGAUGGGAUCUCACGGGUACAGAAGGUUGCGGCGGUGGAAAAUUGGUUUCGUGGCUCCCCUGGAUGUUUUCAGGGUAUAAGAGUACAUAUAGGCGAACGAAGUAGGUCGGUGGAGCUACGAGGGGCCCACGAGGGUGGGGGCGCGCAUACCCCCCUGGGCGCGCCCUCCUGCCUCAUGGCCGCCUCGUUGCGUCUCUGACUUCCACUCCAAGUCUCCUGGAUUGCGUUUGUUCCAAGAAAGAUCCUCGCGAAGGUUUUGUUCCGUUUGGAUUCCGUUUGAUAUUCCUUUUCUGCGAAACAUUGAAAUAGGCAAAAAACAACAACUGGCACUGGGCCUCCGGUUAAUAGGUUAGUCCCAAAAAUAAUAUAAAAGAGCAUAUUAAAGCCCAUUAAACAUCCAAAACAGAUAAUAUACUAGCGUGGAACAAUCAAAACUUAUAGAUACGUUGGAGACGUAUCAAGCAUCCCCAAGCUUAAUUCCUGCUCGUCCUUGAGUAGGUAAAUGAUAAAACAAAAUUUUUGAUGUGGAAUGCUACCUAACAUAAUUUUCAAUGUAAUUCUCUUUAUUGUGGCAUGAAUGUUCAGAUCCGAAAGAUUCAAGACAAAAGUUUAAUAUUGACAUAGAAAUAAUAAUACUUCAAGCAUAAACCAAGCAAUUAUGAUUCUCAAAAUAAUAUAGCCAAAGAAAGCUCGUCGCUACAAAAUCAUAUAGUUUGGCCAUGCUUCAUUUUCGUCACACAAAAUGCUCUCAUCAUGCACAACCCCAAUGACAAGCCAAGCAAUUGUUUCAUACUUUAGUAUUCUCAAACUUUUUCAACUUUCACGCAAUACAUGAGCGCGAGCCAUGGACAUAGCACUAUGGGUGGAAUAGAAUAUGAUGAUGGAGGUUGUGUGGAGAAGACAAAAAAGGAGAAAGUCUCACGUUGACGCGGCUAAUCAACGGGCUAUGGAGAUGCCCAUCAAUUGAUGUCAAUGCGAGGAGUAGGGAGUGCCAUGCAACAGAUGCACUAGAGCUAUAAAUGUAUGAAAGCUCAACAAAAGAAACUAAGGGGUGUGCAUCCAACUUGCUUGCUCACGAAGACCUAGGGCAUUUGAGGAAGCCCAUUGUUGGAAUAUACAAGUCAAGUUCUAUAAUGAAAAUUCCCACUAGUAUAUGAAAGUGACAAAAUAAGAGACUCUUUAUCAUGAAGAUCAUGGUGCUACUUUGAAGCACAAGUGUGGAAAAAGGAUAGUAACAUUGCCCCUUCUCUCUUUUUCUCUCAUUUUUUUGGCCUUUCUCUUUUUUUUAUUUGGCAUUUCCCUUUUUUUAAUUGGCCUUCCCUUUUUUUCCCUCACACAGGACAAUGCUCUAAUAAUGAUGAUCAUCACACUUCUAUUUAUAUACAACUCAAGGAUUACAACUCGAUACUAGAACAAAAUAUGAUUCUAUAUGAGUGCCUUCGGUGGUGUACCAGAAUGGGCAAUGAAUCAAGAGAGACAUGUAUGAAAAUUUAUGCAUGGUGGCCUUGUCACAAAUACGAUGUCAACUACAUGAUCAUGCAAGGCAAUAUGACAAUGAUGAAGCAUGUCAUAAAUAACGGAAUGGUGGAAAGUUGCAUGGCAAUAUAUCUCGGAAUAGCUAUGGAAAUGCCAUAAUAGGUAGGUAUGGUGGCUGUUUUGAGGAAGAUAUGAGGAGGCUUAAGUGUGAUAGAGCGUAUCAUAUCACGGGGUUUGGAUGCACCAGCGAAGUUUGCACCAACUCUCGAGGUGAGAAAGGGCAAUGCUCGGUGCCGAAGAGGCUAGCAAUGAUGGAAGGGUGAGAGUGCGUAUAAUCCAUGGACUCAACAUUAUUCAUAAAGAACUCACAUACUUAUUGCAAAAAUCUACAAGUCAUCAAAACCAAGCACUACGCGCAUGCUCCUAGGGGGAUAGAUUGGUAGGAAAAGACCAUCGCUCGUCCCCGACCGCCACUCAUAAGGAAGGCAAUCAAAGAACACAUCAUGCUUCAAAUUUGUCACACAACAGUUACCAUAUGUGCAUGCUACGGGACUUGCAAACCUCAACACAAGUAUUUCUCAAUUUCACAAUUACUCAACUAGCACGAUUCUAAUAUCACCAUCUUCAUAUCUCAAAACAAUCAUCAAGUAUCAAACUUCUCAUAGUAUUCAAUGCACUCUAUAUGGAAGUUUUUAUUAUACCCAUCUUGGAUGCCUAUCAUAUUAGGACUAAUUUUAUAGCCAAAGCAAAUUACCAUGCUGUUCUAAAAGACUCUCAAAGUAAUAUAAGUGAAGCAUGAGAGAUAACUCAAAUGAUUUCUAUAAAAUAAAACCACCACCGUGCUCUAAAAGAUAUAAGUGAAGCACUAGAGCAAAAUUAUCUAGCUCAAAAGAUAUAAGUGAAGCACAUAGAGUAUUCUAAUAAAUUCCGAUUCAUGUGUGUCUCUCUCAAAAGGUGUGUACAGCAAGGAUGAUUGUGGUAAACUAAAAAGCAAAGACUCAAAUCAUACAAGACACUCCAAGUAAAACACAUAUCAUGUGGUGAAUAAAAAUAUAGCCUCAAGUAAAAAGUUACCGAUAGACGAAAACGAAAGAGGGGAUGCCUUCUGGGGCAUCCCCAAGCUUAGGCUUUUGGCUGUCCUUGAAUUUUACCUUGGGGUGCCUUGGGCAUCCCCAAGCUUAGGCUCUUGCCACUCCUUAUUCCAAAAUCCAUCAAAUCUUUACCAAAAAACUUAAAACUUCACAACACGACUUAAACAAAAAAUCUCAUGAGCUCCGUUAGUAUAAGGAAACAAAUCACCACUUUAAGGUACUGUAAUGAACUCAUUCUUUAUUCAUAUUGGUGUUAAACCUACAGUAUUCCAACUUCUCUAUGGUUCAUACCCCCCGAUACUAGCCAUAUAUUCAUCCAAAUAAGCAAUCAACACACGAAAAACAGAAUCUGUCAAAAACAGAACAGUUUGUAGCAAUAUGAAUCAAACAUAUACUUAUGUAACUCCAAAAAUUCUGAAAUAAAUUCAUGGACGUGAGGAAUUUGUCUAUUAAUCAUAUGCAAAAAGAAUCAACCUAAAAGUACUCUCCAGUAAAAAAUGGCAUCUAAUCUCAUGAGCGCUAAAGUUUCUGUUUUUUACAGCAAGAUCACAAAGACUUCACACAAGUCUUCCCAAAGGUUCUACUUGGCACAAACACUAAUUAAAACAUAAAACCACAUCUAAGUAGAGGCUAGAUGAAAUAUUUAUUACUAAACAGGAACAAAAAUAAAAUUGGGUUGCCUCCCGACAAGCGCUAUCGUUUAACGCCCCUAGCUAGGCAUAAAAACAAGAAUAGAUCUAGGUAUUGCCAUCUUUGGUAUUGGAAAAGAAAGGAGAAAAUUCCUUAUCUAUAGCAUUUAUCUUUCUAUUUUGAUAAAGCACAUGGCCAUUAAUGGUGGAAGAAAGAUUAAGCACGCUACGGAAAUUUGCAUCUAAGCUAGCCUUCAUCUCUUUGAUAAUUUCAUUUUGAUAAAAGCACAAAAGAGAGGUGGAUUCAACCUUCUCACUCAUGGGGUGCCCAAAUAUAGUUUUCAUCUUUUCAUAGGUAUCUAUGGCAUCCCCCUCAAGAAAACCUUCUUCAAAAAUAGAAUCUAAAACUUGAUUGAACGAAGAGGGUAAGCCAACAUAAAAGCUUUUUAGGUAUAUCUCAAUUUGAUAUUGGGGCACAUAGCUGGCUCGGAUCCUUAAUAGCCUAUCCCAAGCAUAUUUCAAAGACUCAUCAAGCAAAUAACGAAAAAUUCCAGGGUCAUCCUCAUCAAAAUUAUUCAAACUCUCAUCGAUAACCCCGGUAGGUCUUUCCAUAGCAUCAUUAUUUGUGAGCUUAGAAAGGACAGAGGCACUGUCCAAAGUAUUAAAACCCGGGAGAAAACCCUUAGCCCUUUUUGAUUCGGCCAUGGCAAAAGAAAGGCAAACGGGAAAGAGGCGAAUAUAACGGCAAAGGUGAAGUGGGGGAGAGAAAAACGAGAGGCAAAUGGCAAAUAAUGUAAUAUGAGGGAUAAGAGUUUGUGAUGGGUACUUGGUAUGUCUUGACUUGAGCAUAGAUCUCCCCGGCAACGGCGCCAGAAAUAUUUCUUGCUACCUCUUGAGCAUGCAUUGGUUUUCCCUUGAAGAGGAAAGGGUGAUGCAGCAAAGUAGCAUAACUAUUUCCCUCAAUUUUUGAGAACCAAGGUAUCAAUCCAGUAGGAGACUACAUGCAAGUCGCCUAGUACCUGCACAAACAAUCAAGAACCUUGCAACCAAUGCGAUAAAGGGGUUGUCAAUCCCUUCACGGCCACUUGCAAAAGUGAGAUCUGAUAAAGAUAGUAAGAUAAAUAUUUUUGGUAUUUUUGUUGUAUAGAUUGGAAAAUAAAGAUAGCAAAAUAAAUAGUAAACUAGAAUUAUAGAUCGGAAACUUAUAUGAUGUAAAGUACACCCGGGGGCCAUAGGUUUCACUAGUGGCUUCUCUCAUGAUAGCAUGUAUUACGGUGGGUGAACAAAUUACUGCCGAGCAAUUGAUAGAAAAGCACAGAGUUAUGAUGAUAUCUAAGGCAAUGAUCAUGAAUAUAGGCAUCACGUCCGUGUUAAGUAGACCGAAACGAUUCUGCAUCUACUACUAUUACUCCACACAUAGGCCGCUAUCCAGCAUGCAUCUAGAGUAUUAAUUUAAUAAGAACGGAGUAACCCAUUAGGCAAGAUGACAUGAUGUAGAGGGAUAAACUUAAGCAAUAUGAUAUAAACCCCAUCUUUUUAUCCUCGAUGGCAACAAUACAAUACAUGUCGGUUCCCUUUCUGUCACUGGGAUCGAGCACCGCAAGAUUGAAACCAAAGCUAAGCACUUCUCCCAUUGCAAGAAAGAUCAAUCUAGUAGGCCAAACUAAACCGAUAAUUCGAAGAGACUUGCAAAGAUAUCAAAUCAUGCAUAUAAGAAUUCAGAGAAGAACCAAAUAAUAUUCAUAGAUAAUCAAGUUCAUAAACCCAUAAUUCAUCGGAUCUCGGCAAACACACCGCAAAAGAGUAUUACAUCGAAUAGAUAUCCAAGAACAUCAUGGAGAACUUUGUAUUGAGAACCAAAGAGAGAGAAGAAGCCAUCUAGCUAAUAACUAUGGACCCGAAGGUCUGUGGUAAACAAAUCACACAUCAUCGGAGAGGCUAUGGUGUUGAUGUAGAAGCCCUCCGUGAUCGAAUCCCCCUUCGGCAGAUCGCCGGAAAAGGCCCAAGAUGGGAUCUCACGGGUACAGAAGGUUGCGGCGGUGGAAAAGUGGUUCCGUGGAUCCCCAAGAUGUUUUUAGGGUAUAAGAGUAUAUAUAGGCGAAAGAAGUAGGUCGGUGGAGCUACGAGGGGCCCACGAGGGUGGGGGGCACGCCUACCCCCCUGGGCGCGCCCUCCUGCCUCGUGGCCGCCUCGUUGCGUCGCUGACUUCCACUCCAAGUCUCCUAGAUUGCGUUUGUUCCAAGAAAGAUCCUCGCGAAGGUUUCGUUCCGUUUAGAUUCCAUUUGAUAUUCCUUUUCUGCGAAACACUGAAAUAGCCGAAAAAACAGCAACUCGCACUGGGCCUCCGUUUAAUAGGUUAGUCCCAAAAAUAAUAUAAAAGAGCAUAUUAAAGCCCAUUAAACAUCCAAAACAGAUAAUAUAAUAGGAUCGAACAAUCAAAAAUUAUAGAUACGUUGGAGACGUAUUAGUCUUCAAUGAACCACCGGUAGGAUUGAAACAACGAAUAAAUUAAUAUGAGAAUAUAGGAAGAGGAAUCUUGAACAAACCGCCGUAACAAUUAAAAAUGAUUGAAGAGAAAAGAACGAAUCGCCAGGAAGAAUUGAAAAUGAACGUAGCAAAGGCACAAUUCACCGGGAAGAAUUAUAAAACGAAUAAACAUACUUGAUGGAAUUUAGAUACAAGAUAACGAAGAGAUGACAAGCUGACUGGAGAAUACUUGAACGAUGCACCGGAACAAUUGGGGGACGAGAGCUGAACAUUGAUAACGAAUAAAUCCGAAAUGAUGGCCUUCGUAGGAAUAAAAUGGAAAGAACUCAUGAAAUGCUUCGGAUGGGUAUGAAAAGAAUUCUCACAAUUGAAAACAAUUAUGAGGAUGGCAUGAAGCUAGAACCACGAAUCUUCCAGAGAACGGAGCAAGAUUUAGAGAAAAGCUCUUCUUCGGUCUUCAAAAUCUUAGAAUGACGAGGAGAACCACCAUAGAUUGUUGGGGCACUCCGGAAUGAAGAAUAAAAAGGUUGAACCAACGAUGAAAAGAAUGUGAAAGAUCUUGGAGAAAGACAUAUGACUGAUGACACUUCAUUCUUACAUCAAACUUUAAAAAAAAUUAGAGAAUGGCUCCGGCAAAAUAGAAGAGUCAGGUAAGAUCCCCGGAAAAAACCUAUGGGUUAGGGCCCACUCAAAGAUGAAGGAAAUAUGCCCUAGAGGCAAUAAUAAAGUUGUUAUUUAUAUUUCCUUAUAUCAUGAUAAAUGUUUAUUAUUCAUGCUAGAAUUGUAUUAACCGGAAACUUAGUACAUGUGUGAAUAUAUAGACAAAUAGAGUGUCACUAGUAUGCCUCUACUUGACUAGCUCGUUAAUCAAAGAUGGUUAAGUUUCCUAGCCAUAGACAAAGAGUUGUCAUUUGAUGAACGGGAUCACCUCAUUAGAGAAUGAUGUGAUUGACUUGACCCAUCCGUUAGCUUAGCAUUAUGAUCGUUUAGUUUAUUGCUAUUGCUUUCUUCAUAACUUAUACAUGUUCCUGUGACUAUGAGAUUAUGCAACUCCCAAAUAUCGGAGGAACACUUAGUGUGCUAUCAAACGUCACAAUGUAACUGGGUGACGAUAAAUAUGCUCUACAGGUGUCUCCGAUGGUGUUUGUUGAGUUGGCAUAGAUCGAGAUUAGGAUUUGUCACUCCGAUUGUCGGAGAGGUAUCGUGACUAUAAAUAUGCUCUAUAGGUGUCUCCGAUGGUGUUUCUUGAGUUGGCAUAGAUCGAGAUUAGGAGUCACUCCGAUUGUCGGAGAGGUAUCUCUGGGCCCUCUCGGUAAUGCACAUCACUAUAAGCCUUGCAAGUAAUGUGACUAAUGAGUUAGUUACGGGAUGGUGCAUUACGGAACGAGUAAAGAGACUUGCCGGUAACGAGAUUGAACUAGGUAUUGAGAUACCGACGAUCGAAUCUCGGGCAAGUAACAUACCGAUGACAAAGGGAACAACGUAUGUUGUUAUGCGGUUUGACCGAUAAAGAUCUUCGUAGAAUAUGUAGGAACCAAUAUGAGCAUCCAGGUUCCGAUAUUGGUUAUUGACCGGAGAUGAGUCUCUGUCAUGUCUACAUAGUUCUCAAACCCGUAGGGUCCGCACGCUUAACGUUCGAUGACGAUCGGUAUUAUGAGUUUCUGUGUUUUGAUGUACCGAAGGUAGUUUGGAGUCCCGGAUAUGAUCACGGACAUGACGAGGAGUCUCGAAAUGGUCGAGACAUAAAGAUUGAUAUAUUGGACGACUAUGUUUGGACUUCGGAAUGGUUCCGGGUGAGUUCGGGCAAUUACCGGAGUACGGGGGGGGUUAUCGGAACCCCUCGGGGAGUAUAAUGGGCCAUAUGGGCCUUAGUGGGGAGAGAGAGGGGCGGCCAGGGCAGGCCGCGCGCCCCCUCCCCCUUCGGUCCGAAUUGGACUAGGGAAGGGGGGGCGGCGCCCCCCUUUCCUUCUCCCUCUCUCUCCCCCUUCCUUCUCUCCUACUCCAACUAGGGAAAGGGGGGAAUCCUACUCCUAGGGCGCGCCAUAGAGAGGGCCAGCCCUCCCCUCCUCCACUCCUUUAUAUACGGGGGAGGGGGCACCCCAUAGACACAUUAGUUGAUCUCUUAGCCGUGUGCGGUGCCCCCUCCAUAGAUUUCCACCUCGGUCAUAUCGUUGCAGUGCUUAGGCGAAGCCCUGCGUCGGUAACUUCAUCAUCACCGUCAUCACGCCAUCAUGCUGACGAAGCUCUCCCUCGGCACUCAGCUAGAUCUAGAGUUCAUGGGAGGUCACCGAGCUGUACGUGUGUAGAUCGCGGAGGUGCCUUAUCUUCGGUACUAGGAUUGGUCGGAUCGUGAAGACGUACGACUACAUCAACCGCGUUGUCAUAACGCUUCCACUUUCGGUCUACGAGGGUACGUGGACAACACUCUCCCCUCUCGUUGCUAUGCAUCACCUGGAUGGAUCUUGCGCGUGCGUAGGAAUUUUUUUUGAAAUUACUACGUUCUCCAACAGUGGUAUCAGAGCCAGGUCUAUGCGUAGAUGUUAUAUGCACGAGUAGAACACAAAUAGUUGUGGGCGGUAAUAGUCAUACUUUGAUUCGAUGGUAUUGUUGGAUGAAGCGGCCCGAACCGACAUUACGCGUACGCUUACGCGAGACUGGUUCUACCGACGUGCUUUGCACACAAGUGGCUGGCGGGUGUCAGUUUCUCCAACUUUAGUUGAAUCGAGUGUGACUACGCCCGGUCCUUGUUGAAGGUUAAAAUAGCACACUUGACGAAAAAUCGUUGUGGUUUUGAUGCGUAGGUAAGAACGGUUCUUGCUCAGCCCGUAGCAGCCACGUAAAACUUGCAACAACAAAGUAGAGGACGUCUAACUUGUUUUGAUGCGUAGGUAAGAACGGUUCUUGCUCAGCAUGUUGUGAUGUGAUAUGGUCAAGACAUGAUGCUAAAUUUUAUUGUAUGAGAUGAUCAUGUUUUGUAACACAGUUAUCGGCAACUGGGAGGAGCCAUAUGGUUGUCGCUUUAUUGUAUGAAAUGCAAUCUCCAUGUAAUUGAUUUACUUCAUCACUAAGCGGUAGCGAUAGUCGUAGAAGCAAUAGUUGGCGAGACGAUGGAGAUCAAGGUGUCUCGCCGGUGACGAUGGUGAUCAUGACGGUGCUUUGGAGAUGGAGAUCAAAGGCACAAGAUGAUGAUGGCCAUAUCAUAUCACUUACAUUGAUUGCAUGUGAUGUUUAUCCUUUAUGCAUCUUAUUUUGCUUAAUUCGAGGGUAGCAUUAUAAGAUGAUCUCUCACUAAAUUUCAAGGUACAGGUGUUCUAAAGGUUAUGCAUUAAAGAAGUGGGAGUCGACCUUGAACUUUGUGUUCUUGCCCAUGGACACGAUGUAGAUCCUAUCAUAGAAGCUUCUUGUAAUAAUAACUAUUUCCUUGAUAUGAAAUCAUCUGGUAUCUAUGUAUUGAUCAUUUGCAAUCGUGGUCCCGACCACAUUUUCUCCUUGAUUCCAUUUCUCAGACAAGUUAAAGCACUUGUCUUUUGUUGAUCGAUACAUCUCCGCAACCUCUAUUUUUGAUCUUCCUCGAGUAUUAACCUCUGGUAUCUCGAGAACUGUGUUGCUUCCUGCAAGUCUUCAUCUAGUAUUGCUUCUCACCGAUCUCGGAUCCCCCCAGGUUCUGAGUUAUUAGUCACUCGAGAACACCGAUAAGUGAAUCGAUUCCGCACUCCGAUUCAAUAACUCUAAGUAAUUCUUGUUGCUACGAGUUUAAUAAUCCUUCAAGUCAUUCCUAGCCUUAUCGGCUAUAUCAUUAUCGGGCUAAAUUUUAACUGUGCUACCUGGUCCUUCUUCCCGGAGCACAAUUUUUGACGAUGAGCUAAGCUUACGUCGAUCUUCCUCAUCAUAUCAUUUCGCUUUGAAUAACAAUACUUGAUUCCGAGUUUGUGUCGUACCCAUGGUUCCAAUAACCUUUUGCUUUGUCAUUCGUUUGACUAGAUGUCAUUACCGAUUGAUUACAUCUUCAUGAAAUCUCUCGACAAAUGUGUCGUGAUCAUCAUCAGCAUUCCGAGCUCUUCCAGCAUAUCAAUUGAGUUCAUGAUGAGAAAUACCAUCCUUGCCCUCGAUGAUUUGUGUUAUCAUCAACCACUUUAUUGACCUCCCUCCAACACAAACUUGUUCGUGUUUUGUGUUAUACUUUGAGUCCCUUGCUAUCCAGCUUCUGUUCUUCUUUACCUUGGAGUAUUACCAUCUUUUAUGUCAAGAAUGUCAUGGGAAUUUUCAGCACCCCUUAAGAAUUCUUGAUACAAGUAAUACUUAUUACCAUCACCGUUCUUUUCUUGGUGUCGUGUUGUUUCUAACCGGAAUGCCGACAAAUGGUCUGUGAUGUGUAAAUUUAAAACUUCUAGUAACCUUAUUGCUUUGAAGUUAAUGGUCGAUAGUUUCAUUCUAAGUCUGUUGCUUAUUGAAUCAUCAUUCUAACAUUGAUCGUGUUACCUAGUCCAGAUUUUUGGGUGCACCUUUCUAUCAUUGUUUAAUUGUGUAUGUUUUUCCUCGAGCAUACAUCAUUAUAUCGUUUGAAAUGACGAUUGUUAUCUCCUUGUUCACAUAACUGUGGAAAUCCAUCUUUUUGGAUAUCUUGUUGAAAUAUCGCUGAGUCCAUCAGCCACCUCCUCAUCCUCUCCUUGGCUUAAUGAUGAACCCUUGUUCAGAACUCGCUUCCAUAGUUCAUUUCCCGAGAAUCUUACAAUGUCAUCUCGUCAAUUGGUGUUGCACCUUUUCUUCUCAGGCAUCCCGAGUCUGAGGUAUCCUGACACCAAUCUGAUCUGAAUCUUGGUCAGAAAUGAUGGUUUUAACAUAAUUCCAAGAGUUAUAACAUUGGUCUUUAUAUAACCCGGUAAGAUGAUGUCAUGCCUAGCACACCUGGCCGGAUGACCUAUUGAUAUAGUAUCCUCUUUACCAAGGUUAGCCAUUCUUCCAUGAGGAAAUUGUAAGACUUAUUCCAUAAGUUGUUCCUGAUGGAUCCUUUGUGUAUCCAUAGCCUGAUCUUUACCUAAUGACCAUGUCAAUGCUAUCUCGAAGCAUGUCUGUGGUACUCCGACCUUCAAUAAAAACAUUUGAAGCACAAUGCUAAAUUUUCGUUAUCAAUUAUUCAAACACCGUUGUUUGGGUAAUGUCAUGAACUUCCUCUUCCCUAACCUAAAUGGUUCUCUUCUAACCAUUGUCCUUGGGAAGGAUAUACCCCUGAAAUAUGUGUUUAAACACAUUUUCCUUUCCAUUGUUCUGUUUAAUCUGAUAAUCAUAUUUUCCUUUCCAUUGGUUGGUUUAACGUUGCUUGUGAUCUAUAUGAUCUAAGCAGUAAUAUUCUUCUUCUUAUGUAAACACCUUGGUGUGCAACUGUGUCAACAAGACUGUGUUACUAUCGUUGAUGACAUUUCGGUAACCACCGAUGGACGAGAACUUUGCCUAUGGAUCCGCCUCGUUUCAACGAGCAGGAAAAUGGUUCUCUUCGUCCCUCGCCCUUGGUACCAACGAUGCUGCCAACAUAAUUGACCGGUUAUUCUCUGACAUGCCUUGCUUACAUGAUCAUGCAAGACGUCACCCCUCUUCCUACUUUUAACCCACAUGGUGGGUCCAUAACCCACAGUUCCACAGGAUCGAAAACCUGACUCUCCUGUACACCACUGGUUCCCAAGGUUGUUCCUCACGCGUGACGUCGUAUAUAAUUCACGACCACCUACCGAGGGAUCAUCAAUUCUGGUAUCAAACACAAUACUUAUCCCCGUUGCUUUGAACCCCUUUCAUGCCCUGUUUCAGGCAUCGAAAGAUUGCCUAUCCGGUCGAAACCUCUCGUGAUACCUUCUUACUUUGCUCUCGAUGUGUUUCAUUUGUUCAACUCGAGAGAUACUCAUGUGUUCAUUCUUGGGAUACCCCAGAGGAUUUUCCCUUAUAACAUCCUAUCGUUGUAGAGCUGCCCCUUACCUAUUCGUAAGUACGAUGGAGUUUCAAAAGGUAGGGUGACGGCUUCAUCAUGAUGACCUGGAGCAGGGAAAUGAAGACAUCAAAGUAAUGGAUCGACCUCUUCGAGAAGAGCAACCAAGACCAAGAAGAAUCGUUAGAAUUUCGUAACCUAUUCUUCCCCCUUGCCCCCCUCUUAAAUCUCAGGACGAGAUUUCUUGUAGUGGAGGAGAAUUGUGACGCCCGGAUAAUUAAGCUACAGUGAACCCUCUGCUAAUGAUGCUACUUCACUUUGAUUACUGUUGAUAAUCUCGCAUUAGUUCAAAACCGAUUCAAAUUCAAAAUUGAAUUAAAGGCAAAAUCAAAAGUUUUCGAACUUUGAAACUAAAAUGUUCGGGUUGUGCCAAAUAAUGCAUAGGCAAUUAUGGUGGAGCAACCACACUUUUAUAAAAGGUUUGAAUGCUCUAAAAUGAUUUAAGCGGUAACUAAAACGUUAGUUAAAUGCCUUUGGUAUUUUAUAAAAUACUAAAUUAUUUUAUUUUGGGUUAAAACCUUUUUGUGGCAGAGGGUUAUUUUGAAUCGUUAUUUUAGGAGCUAUUGUCAUAUUGUACUAACUAAAAAUAAUGUGGACCUAAAAUUAAAACAGAAAAGAAAUAGAAAAGAAUAGGAAAAUUAAAUAAAAAAACACACACAAAAGAAGACCCCUUGGCAAACUGGGCCAACAGGCCCAGCUGGCCACCCACGCAGCCCAGUCGGCCCACCCUGGCUGGAUAACCCCACUCCCCACCCAAACCCUAACGCACACUACCCCACUUCCCCCACUCCUUCCUUUGCUCCCCCCGAUCCAGAUCGGAUCGGUCGCUCGACGGCGCCCCUCACCGCGCCGACCGCGUCGCCAACCGCCCCGAUGCCGCCGCCUGGUCCUCGCCGGAUCUGUCACCUCGCCGUCUCCUUCCCACGCCGGACCUCCUCGACCUCCUCCCCGACGGCCUCCCCAAGCCAUGUUGUGCCCCUUCACCGCUCGCCGUCUCUGGUGCCACCUCGCCGACGCCGCCCCACCGCCUCUUCCUCGCAUGGUUCAAACAUUCAAAUGGUUCACUUGCACGGAAACCAAUACACCUUAUAUUCUGGAAUGGAGGGAGUACUUUAUAUACAUGACACAUGUGGUGACUAAAGUCGGGUCGGCUCGUUGAGUACCCUCAAGUGAUUCUGAUGAGGGGGCUGAAAGGACAGGUGGCUCCGUCCCGGUAGAGGUGGGCCUGGGUUCCUGAUGGCCCCCGACUGUUACUUUAUGGCGGAGCGACAGGGCAGGUUGAGACCACCUAGGAGAGAGGUGGGCCUGGCCCUGGUCAGCGUUCGCGGAUACUUAACAUGCUUAACGAGAUCUUGGUAUUUGAUCUGAGUCUGGCCAUUUGGUCUAUACGCACUAACCAACUACGCGGGAACAGUUAUGGGCACUCGACGUCGUGGUAUCAGCCGAAGCUCUUUUUGACGUCAGAGACUGAGUGGCGCGCGCCGCAUUGGACCGUAAGCUCGCGCUUGUAUUAAGGGGGCUAGGUCUGCUUCCAGCCGCGUACGCAACGUGCAGGUGUGCAAUGGGCGAUGGGCCCAGACCCCUGCGCGCAUAGGAUUUAGACCGGCGUGCUGACCUCUCUGUUAAGCCUAGGUGGGGCUGCGACGUGUUGAUCUUACGAGGCCGGGCAUGACCCAGGAAAGUGUGUCCGGCCAAAUGGGAUCGAGCGUGUUGGGUUAUGUUGUGCACCCCUGCAGGGAAGUUUAUCUAUUCGAAUAGCCGUGUCCCUCGGUAAAAGGACGACCCGGAGUUGUACCUUGACCUUAUGACAACUAGAACUGGAUACUUAAUAAAACACACCCUUCGAAGUGCCAGAUAGAACCCGGUGAUCGCUCUCUAACAGGGCAACGAGGAGGGGAUCGCCGGGUAGGAUUAUGAUAUGCGAUGCUACUUGGAGGACUUCAAGCUACUCUCUUCUACAUGCUGCAAGAUGAAGGCUGCCAGAGGCGUAGUCUUCGACAGGAUUAGCUAUCCCCCUCUUAUUUUGGCAUUCUGCAGUUCAGUCCACCGAUAUGGCCCUUUACACAUAUACCCAUGCAUAUGUAGUGUAGCUCCUUGCUUGCGAGUACUUUGGAUGAGUACUCACGGUUGCUUUUCUCCCUCUUUUCCCCCUUUCCUUUCUACCUGGUUGUCGCAACCAGAUGCUGGAGCCCAGUAGCCAGACGCCACCGUCGACGACGACUCCUACUACCCCGGAGGUGCCUACUACUACGUGCAGCCCGCUGACGACGACCAGGAGUAGUUAGGAGGAUCCCAGGCAGGAGGCCUGCGCCUCUUUCGAUCUGUAUCCCAGUUUGUGCUAGCCUUCUUAAGGCAAACUUGUUUAACUAAUGUUUGUACUCAGAUAUUGUUGCUUCCGCUGACUCGUCUAUGAUCGAGCACUUGUAUUUGAGCCCUCGAGGCCCCUGGCUUGUAUUAUGAUGCUUGUAUGACUUAUUUAUGUUGUAGAGUUGUGUUGUGAUAUCUUCCAGUGAGUCCCUGAUCAUGAUCGUACACAUUUGCGUGCAUGAUUAGUGUACGGUCAAAUCGGGGGCGUCACAGCACGCUACCUCUAUAUCUACCUUCGAGAUUAGUUUUAGACCUAUAUAAUUGUUAUUUGGUGCCAGCGUUGAGCAUGAACAUUAUAUUUGGAUCUUGUUUAAUGCGAGACGGUUAUUCAUUUAAAUCAGAGAAUAAUGGUUGUUCUAUUUAUAUGAGUAAUAUCUUUUAUGGUCAUGCACCCUUGAUGAGUGGUCUAUUUUUACUAAAUCUUGAUAGUAGUGAUACACAUGUUCAUAGUACUGAAGCCAAAAGAUAUAAGUUUAAUAAUGAUAGUGCAACUUAUUUGUAGCACUGCCGUUUAGGUCAUAUUGGUGUAAAGCGCAUGAAGAAACUCCAUGCUGAUGGGCUUUAGGAAUCACUUGAUGCUUGCGAACCAUGCCUCAUGGGCAAGAUGACUAAGACUCCAUUCUCCGGAACAAUGGAGCGAGCAACAGACUUGUUGGAAAUAAUACAUACUGAUGUAUGUGGUCCGAUGAGUGUUGAUGCUCGCGGCGGGUAUCGUUAUUUUCUUACCUUCACAGAUGAUUUGAGCAGAUAUGGGUAUAUCUACUUGAUGAAACAUAAGUCUGAAACAUUUCAAAAGUUCAAAGAAUUUCAGAGUGAAGUGGAAAAUCAUUGUAACAAGAAAAUAAAGUUUCUACGAUCUGAUCGUGGAGGAGAAUAUUUGAGUUACGAGUAUGGUCUUCAUUUGAAGCAAUGCAGAAUAGUUUCGCAACUCACGCCACCCGGAACACCACAUCGUAAUGGUGUGUCCGAACGUCAUAAUCGUACUUUAUUAGAUAUGGUGCGAUCUAUGAUGUCUCUCACUGAUUUACCGCUAUCGUUUUGGGGUUAUGCUUUAGAGAUGGCUGCAUUCACGUUAAAUAGGGCACCAUCUAAAUCCGUUGAGACGACACCAUAUGAACUAUGGUUUGGCAAGAAACCCAAGUUGUCGUUUCUUACAGUUUGGGGCUGCGAUGCUUAUGUGAAAAAGCUUCAACCUGAUAAGCUCGAAAUCAAAUCGGAGAAAUGUGUCUUCAUAGGAUACCCAAAGGAGACUGUUGGGUACACCUUCUAUCACAGAUCCGAAGGCAAAAUAUUCGUUGCUAAGAAUGGAUCCUUUCUAGAGAAGGAGUUUCUCUCGAAAGAAGUGAGUGGGAGAAAAGUAGAACUUGAUGAGGUAACUGUACCUGCUCCCUUAUUGGAAAGUGGUUCAUCACAGAAAUCAGUUCUAGUGAUUCCUACACCAGUAAGUGAGGAAGCUAAUGAUCAUGAUCAUGAAACUUCUGAUCAAGUUACUACCGAACCUUGUAGGUCAACCAGAGUAAGAUCAGCACCAGGGUGGUACGGUAAUCCUGUUCUGGAGGUCAUGUUACUUGACCAUGACGAACCUACGAACUAUGAGGAAGCAAUGAUGAGCCUAGAUUCCGCAAAAUGGCUUGAGGCAAUGAAAUCUGAGAUGGGAUCCAUGUGUGAGAACAAAGUGUGGACUUUGGUUGACUUGCCCGAUGAUCGGCAAGCCAUAGAGAAUAAAUGGAUCUUCAAGAAGAAGAGUGACGUUGACGGUAAUGUUACUGUCUACAAAGCUCGACUUGUUGCGGAAGGUUUUCGACAAGUUCAAGGAGUUGACUACGAUGAGACCUUCUCACCCAUAGCGAUGCUUAAGUUUGUCCGAAUCAUGUUAGCAAUUGCCGCAUUUUAUGAUUAUGAAAUUUGGCAAAUGGAUGUCAAAACUGCAUUCCUUAAUGGAUAUCUUAAAGAAGAGUUGUAUAUGAUGCAACCAGAAGGUUUUGUCGAUCCAAAAGGUGCUAACAAAGUGUGCAAGCUCCAGCGAUCCAUUUAUGGACUGGUCCAAGCCUCUCGGAGUUGGAAUAUACGCUUUGAUAGUGUGAUCAAAGCAUAUGGUUUUAUACAGACUUUUGGAGAAGCCUGUAUUUACAAGAAAGUGAGUGGGAGCUCUGUAGCAUUUCUGAUAUUAUAUGUGGAUGACAUAUUGUUGAUCAGAAAUGAUACUGAAUUUCUGAAUGGCAUAAAACGAUACUUGAAUAAGAAUUUUUCAAUGAAGGACCUUGGUGAAGCUGCUUAUAUAUUGGGCAUCAAGAUCUAUAGAGUAGAUCAAGACGCUUAAUUGGACUUUCACAAAGCACAUACCUUGAUAAAGUUUUGAAGAAGUUCAAAAUGGAUCAAGCAAAGAAAGGGUUCUUGCAUGUGUUACAAGGUGUGAAGUUGAGUCAGAUUCAAUGCCCGUCCAUUGCAGAAGAUAGAGAGAAAAUGAAAGUCAUUCCCUAUGCUUCAGCCAUAGGUUCUAUCAUGUAUGCAAAGCUGUGUACCAGACCUGAUGUGUGCCUUGCUAUUAGUUUAGCAGGGAGGUACCAAAGUAAUCCAGGAGUGGAUCACUGGACAGCGGUCAAGAACAUCCUGAAAUACCUGAAAAGGACUAGGUAUAUGUUUCUCGUUUAUGGAGGUGACAAAGAGCUCGUCGUAAAUGGUUACGUCGAUGCAAGCUUUGACACUGAUUCGGAUGACUCUAAGUCACAGACCUGAUACGUAUUUUUAUUGAAUGGUGGAGCUCUCAGUUUGUGCAGUUCCAAGCAGAGCGUCGUGGCGGGAUCUACGUGUGAAGCGGAGUACAUAGCUGCUUCGGAAGCAGCAAAUGAAGGAGUCUGGAUGAAGGAGUUCAUAUCCGAUCUAGGUGUCAUACCUAGUGCAUCGGGUCCAAUGAAAAUCUUUUGUGACAAUACUGGUGCAAUUGCCUUGCCAAAGGAAUCCAGAUUUCAUUAGAGAACCAAGCACAUCAAGAGACGCUUCAAUUCCAUCCGCGACCAAGUCAAGGAGGGAGACAGAGAGAUUUGCAAGAUACAUACGGAUCUAAAUGUUGCAGACUCGUUGACUAAGCCUCUCUCACGAACAAAACAUGAUCAACACCAAGACUCCAUGGGUGUUAGAAUCAUUACAAUGUAAUCUAGAUUAUUGGUUCUAGUGCAAGUGGGAGACUGAAGGAAAUAUGCCCUAGAGGCAAUAAUAAAGUUGUUAUUUAUAUUUCCUUAUAUCAUGAUAAAUGUUUAUUAUUCAUGCUAGAAUUGUAUUAACCGGAAACUUAGUACAUGUGUGAAUAUAUAGACAAACAGAGUUUCACUAGUAUGCCUCUACUUGACUAGCUCGUUAAUCAAAGAUGGUUAAGUUUCCUAGCCAUAGACAAAGAGUUGUCAUUUGAUGAACGGGAUCACAUCAUUAGAGAAUGAUGUGAUUGACUUGACCCAUCCGUUAGCUUAGCAUUAUGAUCAUUUAGUUUAUUGCUAUUGCUUUCUUCAUAACUUAUACAUGUUCCUAUGACUAUGAGAUUAUGCAACUCCCGAAUACCGGAGGAGCACUUAGUGUGCUAUCAAACGUCACAACGUAACUGGGUGACUAUAAAGAUGCUCUAUAGGUGUCUCCGAUGGUGUUUGUUGAGUUCGCAUAGAUCGAGAUUAGGAUUUGUCACUCCGAUUGUCGGAGAGGUAUCUCUGGGCCCUCUCGGUAAUGCACAUCACUAUAAGCCUUGCAAGAAAUGUGACUAAUGAGUUAGUUACAGGAUGUUGCAUUACGGAGCUAGUAAAGAGACUUGCCAGUAACGAGAUUGAACUAGGUAUUGAGAUACCGACGAUCGAAUCUCGGGCAAGUAACAUACUGAUGACAAAGGGAACAACGUAUGUUGUUAUGCAGUUUGACCGACAAAGAUCUUCGUAGAAUAUGUAGGAACCAAUAAGAGCAUCCAGGUUCCGCAAUUGGUUAUUGACCGGAGAUGAGUCUCGGUCAUGUCUACAUAUUUCUCGAACCCGUAGGGUCCGCACGCUUAACGUACGGUGACGAUCGGUAUUAUGAGUUUAUGUGUUUUGAUGUACCUAAGGUAGUUCGGAGUCCUGGAUACGAUCACGGACACGACGAGGAGUCUCGAAAUGGUCGAGACAUAAAGAUUGAUAUAUUGGACGACUAUGUUUGGACUUCGGAAUGGUUCCAGGUGAGUUCGGGCAAUUACCGGAGUACCGGGGGGUUAUCGGAACCCCCCGGGGAGUAUAAUGGGCCAUAUGGGCCUUAGUGGAGAGAGAGGGGCGGCCAGGGCAGGCCGUGCGCCCCCUCCUCCUUGGGUCCGAAUUGGACUAGGGAAGGGGGGCGGCGCCCCCCUUUCCUUCCCCCUCUCUCUCGCCCUUCCUUCUCUCCUACUCUGUCGGGGAUAUACCCCGCGGUAUGACCCGGCCGGAAGUAUGGCCCGGCCGGACUUGGCGCUUCACCAUGACCCGCCGGAGGACUGGCGACUCACGGGUCUGGCGGCUCACUGUCAGAUGAAUCACGAGCCUGACGACUCACGGAUGACCCCGAUGGCGGAUCAGAUAGAAGACAAGGCCCAAGGCCCAGAAGGCUGGCUCACGUUUAUGAUGGGCCGGCUUAAGAAGAAAGGGAUGACGAAUAUUUCCUUUACGAGGAAGCAAGACCCGGACUUGUAAUUGACUUGUAAGAGAAGAUAGACUAGUCCUAGUCCUACUAGGACUCCACAUGUAACCGGCCCCUCUAACUUAUAUAAGGAGGGGCAGGGCUCCCCAAAGAGGGGGGGACAAGCAACAAGAAAUAAUCUCUAAGGCUAUACACCGAGAGCCGGUUCCCGGCGACUCUCCCGUGAUCAUAGUGAGACCUAACCUCAAACAGAACGUAGGGCUAUUACAGGAUGAUGUUUCCCGGGGCCCGAAGCUGUCUAAAAUCCUUGUCUUGUGUUGCGUCUUUCGAUUCCGAUCAACCCCUCUCAAGCGACCGCAUAGAUGCGUUGGCCUCACGACUAAGUCCUCACCUAGGACAUAUGACGUGUUAAUUCCACGACAGUUGGCGCCCACCAUGGGGCCUGCGCACGGUGGUGAUGAGUUCUUGAAGGGAUCUAUCUCAGGGAUCGAGAAUAUUAGAAUUCGUCGGAUGGAGAAAGAGCCGGCAAAAUUCAUUGAGUUAUGAUCAUAGUCAUGAUUAAAGUUUGAAACAUCAGGCCCGAGAUUGAGAUCAAGAGUUAGGGUGGCGUCUGGGAUCCGUUUAAUCUGACAUCAACCAAUUGUUACUGCUGCGCCGCCUACGAAGUUUCAAGAUUUUCCGCGACUUGGUCCGAGGCUGAGUGGAAUCUAUUUGAGUUAAAUCGGCUUGGUCUGCUAGUCGUUGUUUACGCGUAUCUACGCAGUCUGACGCGCGCCUGACCGUGGCUACAUAUUCCACAGAUAAUUUGCUAGGUCAAGGACCGAGGAGACCGGUACUAAUCAAGGAAAACUGCGAGACUACAAUGUUGUUACCACGAACAGAUCACCGAAGCAAUUGAAAAUAGCGAUGUGGAGGUUUGUGUUCAUGUGCUAAUACUUUGACCCGGAAACAAAGGUUAGUCAAAGCAACUACGACUCGGAAACGAAGCCGGCCACAAUCCAGAUUCCUCCUGCGCUCGCGACCUCGUUUCGAGGCGCCCGCCUCCGCUGCCUCGUGUACGCCCAGGCGGUUUCCGAGCCGUUGCCGUUCUCCACACCGCGGCUUACCUCCGACGCUCCGACCGACCUUCACUACGACUGCGCCAAGCCGGUCCCGCUGCUGCGGUUGAGCCUCCCCCGCGAUAAAUCGUCGGUCCUCUGACCGCGGUCCGCCCCUCCGUCGCGGACUCGCCGGGGCCCUCUGAGCCGCCGCCUCCAAAGUCGCCAUAGCCUGACGCCGCUUCGACCGCAGUAUACUCCAGUGGCUGCGACCGGCUCUCUCUACUCCGCGUCCCGCGAUGGUCGGGUAGCACGCUGCUGCCUCCACGUGCCUGCGAAGCCCGGCGCAUCGCUGCUUGCUGCACCAGACUCCGUCCCCGUUUACCUUUGCUGAGCCGCCGUGCCCGCGUCCAAAUUGUCUGCACAAGCCGUCUUUGAGCGAUCCUGCUGCAGCUGUUUACCAAAAAAAGGGAGGAGUAGCUAUGACCUGGAGAAGGACCUAAACCGGAUUGGUCAAACCUCCACAAUUCAGAGGAGGACUCGGCCAUGGCUCGCGAGCGCCUCUGCCGCCUCUGGCCGCGGACUGGCCCGGUGCCCCGCCUUGUCGGCCUCCCACGCUGGCGUCUCCCCCGCCCUUUGCCUUCGUGCCUCCACUGCUACUACGGCCAUGGCCUGUUUGAGUCGCCGCACACUACUACCUCUAAAGCGACGGCCGCGCCUUCGACCUACUCUACUGCAGCAGCCGCCGCCACAAACCGCCCGCGCCGGGCCAGGUUCACCUUCGCCUUGAGCCGCUGCACGCACCUGCCCUCAAGCCGAUGCCUCUGCCGGGGCCGAGUCACUGUUUCGUCCUCCGCCUCUAUCGCUAGCGCUUCCGAGACGCCUCUACUCGUUUUCAUUCCGGAUGCCUGGCGCGCCAAGCCGCCUACGAGCCCGACCACGCGUCGCCUCUGCAUUCCGGCCCAUUGGCGCAUAUAACCCGUACAAGGGCUUGGACAGAGAACAAGAUAGGCGUGAUUUCAAUUGUGAUGAUUCAGUUUCAUCAGGUUACACUAGCCUGUGUUUCAGAUCGACCAUAUACUGAUCACGGUGUAAGAGCUGAAGGCAACAUGGCGUUGUUUUAGUCAAAAACAUUCAAGGCAAUGCUAUAGUUGAAAUCCAGAGGAAUGCCAUUGCUGAAAGGAGUCAAAGCCCUAUUUCAUAGUUAAAAGGAAUUGAUGCCAUUACUGUUCAAAAUUGGCUGAUGCUUUAAGUGGCAAGAUCAACUGAUGUGCUACCGCUGCUACCUCACCUUGCGUGAGACCCGCCCGCGCUGAAACGACCAGCGCCGGGCCUGAAGCCGCCCUCUGCUUCAAGUCGCCAAAGUCACAGGCUGGCCGCAUUUCCGCUGUUGCUCUGCGCCUUUGCGCGUCCUCACCGGCUCUCAAGCUGCGGGUGUGCCCGAGUUGUCGCAGACGCGACCCGCCACCGGCUACACCUGCUGACCUCACCGCGGCGGUUCACCGCUACACCUACCGGCUUGCCUGCCUCUUCUGCCGCGCUUCGUUCCCAAUAGCGUUAAACCGCUCCCAAAGCCAGGAACAGGCGUUAAAAGAAAGGAGCUACGGCAGCAUCUGCAAACCACUGAUCAUUAUAGAGUAUUAUAUAUACACAGUAUUAUAUAUACACCUGAUGGGCUAUACUAUUGUCAGUUUAUUGACGGAUAUCACAUAUGGAUCAUCUGCCGUACGAACAAAUCAGGUCGAUUAACUCAUGGCCACGUUAUGAACCGGCCUCAUGCGCCGGCGUCGGAGGCGAUGUAUGCAUCUACACCGCCCGUGCCGGGUGUUUAAGGACCGGGAGAAUAACCCGGAGGGUUUCUGCUUGGAUCGCCGGGACCAUAUUGAGUCGCCGACCUGCCUAAACCGUCUCUGUUGCGAUGAACGGAUCAUCCGUUGUCCGAACAAAAAACAUCAGGUGAUAUCCGUCCGCUUUGUUUUCAUAGCACAUAUUAAUUUUUGUGUGAACAAAUACUUUGGCGUGUGAUAUUUUUUGAUACAGGACAAUUGUUCACUACAUCAACACAACGUGGUUGACUUGCCCAUCCACGCGGCAUACCGCGCCGGUGAUCGAUUCGCCCGUCCGGACCGGCUUACAACACCGCGGCCGGCUUAUCUGUCUGUGCCGCCUCUGAUGCAACGGUCGUCUUUACCAUCCGUCUCUCGCGGGUUGGUCUAUAUAAACACACUGGGCCGCACCUGUAUGCAUGAGCUGUUUAUUGAAUAUGAGCGAGUCACUGCUUGGGAAGCCCGGUUUUCUUCCAACAAAUUGGAGGCGAAUCAUCAUGUAUUAUCAGCCGCCGUCUGCACUGGAUGGUUCAAUGGGCAGGCGCACAAGUCGAUGCCACUACAGUUUGGUUAACUUCAAAACAUCCAGUUGGAAGGAACCAUUGGCCGAGUUGCUGACACGGCUCAUACGGGAUCAUUCAUAACCCGCCGCGGUCACUUCAACCUUCUGUGGAUUCACAUCGCGCUAUCAAUACCAAUGAUAUACACCUUAUGCUAUGAACAAUAUGGAGAAUCUCAAAGCCAACUCCUCGAGUCGUCUUGAGACUCGGGGGCUACAAUGAUAUGACUUGGCAGCAUUGGUCGGUUUCAAUGCAUUCAAGAACUCCGGGUCAUUGGAGGAAAAAAUAACCCGGCCCUGGAGAUUACUGUUCUAUCGAUGCAAAUUUAAAGGCCGUCAGAAAAAUAUCCGGCUUAAAAUAAAGAUUCCGGUUUAAAAUCCGGUUCAAGAGACAUCUCUCUCCCGCAAAGCUUUGAAGCUCUCAAAUCCGGUUCAAACAUCCGGCUCAAGGUAAAUUUGUCUCUUACAAAGCUUUUAAGCUCUCAAGUCCGGUUCAAAGUUCCGGUUCAAAAAGAAUUAAUCUCUCGCAAGAUUCGAGUUCUCAGAAAAAAUUAAAGGUUGCCAAAAAGAACUUGCUGCCAUGAUGCGCGGUUCAAACAUAGGUAUCCUGCCUUACGGCUUAUCUUAUUAUGGUCACUUGGGGGCUUCCUGCUCAUCGGGCAUAGCUAUCAGUACCCUCUAGAUCGGUGCAAUGCUUAAACUUAUAUGGUCACUUGGGGGCUUCCUGUUCAAACAUAGGUCGUAUUCAAACCAAAGAGAACAUAGCUGUCGAUACCCUUUUGAUUGGCAAACUGCUGAACCUACUUGGGAGCUUCUUGAUCGUAUCCGAAUCAUAGCUCAACCCCUUUGGGAAUCGACGUGGAUCGUAUUCGAAUCAGCGUCGCUAAACAACUCUUAAGGUCAUUUGGGGGCUUCCUGUUCAAACAUAGGUCGUAUUCGAACCAAAGAGAACAUAGUUGUCGAUACCCACUUUGAUCGGCAACGCCAAAGCCACUGGGGGCUAUAUGAUCGUAUUCGAAUCUUAGCUUAACCCCUUUGGAACGGUUUUCUGAUCGUAUUCGAAUCAGAAGCCUCAAAAUUUUUGAAGUCUCUUUUUGCGAACAAUUUUUUUUGAUUUUACUUGAGGCUUUUUUGAUCAUAUCUAAAGUAUAUAAGUGUGGUUUAAAUUUAACCCGGCUUGGCUUUGGACGAUAAGACGCCAGCAUGUGACAAUCAUCAUAUAUUUGGAAGUAUUGGCUUCUAAGGAUUGGGUUAUCACCCUUACUGCACAGGUCAUGUAAACCGACAGUACAAAUUCAAUAUCAGAGUGGUUAUAUGUGAGAUAUUAUGACCCGCCCUGCGGUAAACCGCCAAGGGAUCUUGUGAUCUACUUGUGUGCAGGAUAAGACUACAUUUGGGUGGUGACCCGCCCUGGCUUUUGACGUUAAGUCGCCAGGGCAUAUGUUGUUUAAACUUUGUGCAGGAUUUACAGAGCUAUGACUUACAUAAAUGAUUCAGUUCAAGCCCAUCAUCGAAAGAUUGACAUUGGUGUCUCAAAAGGGUUAUCAAUUCUUGGUUUUCUCAAAGGCUAUAAAUAGUCGGGUUAUAAAAAUUCUGCUUACAAUGGAGGCGUAAUAAAUCGCCAUCGGCCAAGAGCCGCCGGGUAUUUAAACUCCGGAUUUACUUGUCAACAGAUAAGGUAUUUGAAAUCUUUAAAUAGCCAAACUUGGCUGGAUUUUCAUUAUGAUUUGAAUAAAUGAGGUUUUCAAACCGGGUUAGUCAAAUCUUUAAUAGCCCACAUGGCUGGAUUUUUAUUAUGGUUAUCAGAAACUAAUAUUAUGAUUGAGGUUUUCAAAGUCGCUUCAGCGUAAUGGCUAUUAUUUUAUCAAUGGAUAUGAUUUAUUCUACAAUGGAAGGAAUAGUCCCGAGGCGCUGCAGGCUUACAACCCGGCACUUGGGGGCUACAUUAUUCAAAUUGAUAUUACAUCAAAUAUGCAAGUCCCAUGUCAUUGCCAGCAUGCACCGUGGCACUUGGGGGCUAAUGCAAAGUCAUUUUUUGCUCAACUUAUUGAAGACCCGACUCAUCACAUUCUAAAUGAGCCGGCUCUUGGGGGCUACCAAUUGGUCCUGUCAAAAAUUCAAGACAAUUCUAGGAUGACCCGGCUACACUACUAUGACUGUAGCCGACUCAUGGGGGCUACACAACUGGAUUUUAUUUAAAGCCAUGGUGAUAAGUCCCGGCUUAUUCAUGCUGAUUAAACCGGCUCUUGGGGGCUAUAGGUAAUAUGGAUAUAAGGGAGAAAUAUCUUCAAAUUCUCAGUUUUGAGUAAAUCAGAUUGACCUGGUGUCUGCAAAAUUUAUAAACCGGCGUCGGCGACAAUUAUGACUUGGCAUCAUCUAUUUAUAACCCGGCAAUUUUGGUACUCAUAAACCGGCAAGUUUUAUAUCUUUAAGCCGGCUGAAUAUAAGUUGAAUAUUUGAAGACCAAUAUUUUUGUCAAGUCAGAGCAUUGAAAGCCGACUCAAGUGGAUUAUCUCUUACAAUAUUUCUCAACAAGAGACCAAUGUCAGCAAAUUGACUAUGAAGCUGGCCUGCUGACCCGGAUUUUCAAAGGAAGUAUCUGGAUUUUUUGCAUUGGCAAAAUUUGAACAUAUCUGCUAAAGAGAUUUGCUAUGAGAUUAUGGAUACAUAUCAAGAAGGAAGAUAACAAGGACAUAAGGAUGAUCAAGUGCCGGCUUACAAAGAAUAUUUAACCCGGAACACAACCUGUCAAAUUUGUUCUUGUGUUUAUAUUGCAGAUUAGUUUAACAUGGAUAAAUCCAAAUUAAGCUGGGGGCUAAUGUCGGGGAUAUACCCCGCGGUAUGACCCGGCCGGAAGUAUGACCCGGCCGGACUUGGCGCUUCACCGUGACCCGCCGGAGGACUGGCAACUCACGGGUCUGGCGGCUCACUGUCAGAUGACUCACGAGCCUGAUGACUCACGGAUGACCCUGAUGGCGGGUCAGAUAGAAGACAAGGCCCAAGGCCUAGAAGGCCGGCUCACGUUUAUGAUGGGCCGGCUUAAGAAGAAAGGGAUGACGAAUAUUUCCUUUACGAGGAAGCAAGACCCGGACUUGUAAUUAACUUGUAAGAGAAGAUAGACUAGUCCUAGUCCUACUAGGACUCCACAUGUAACCCGCCCCUCUAACUUAUAUAAGGAGGGGCAGGGCUCCCCAAAGAGGGGGGGACAAGCAACAAGAAAUAAUCUCUAAGGCUAGACACCGAGAGCCGGUUCCCGACAACUCUCCCGUGAUCAUAGUGAGACCUAGCCUCAAACAGCACGUAGGGCUAUUACCGGAUGAUGUUUCCCGGGGCCCGAAGCUGUCUAAAAUCCUUGUCUUGUGUUGCAUCUUUCGAUUCCGAUCAACCCCUCUCAAGCUACCGCAUAGAUGCGUUGGCCUCACGACUAAGUCCUCACCUAGGACAUCUGACGUGUUAAUUCCGCGACAUACUCCAGCUAGGGAAAGGGGGGAAUCCUACUCCCGGUGGGAGUAGGACUCCCCCUAGGGCGCGCCAUAGAGAAGGCCGGCCCUUCCCUCCUCCACUCCUUUAUAUACGGGGGAGGGGGGCACCCCAUAGAAACACAAGUUGAUCUCUUAGCCGUGUGCGGUGCCCCCUCCACAAAUUUCCACCUCGGUCAUAUCGUUGCAGUGCUUAGCCGAAGCCCUGCGUCGGUAACUUCAUCAUCACCUUCAUCACGCCGUCGUGUUGACGAAGCUCUCCCUCGACACUCAGUUGGAUCUAGAGUUUGUGGGACGUCAUCGAGCUGAACGUGUGCAGAUCGCGGAGGUGCCGUAUCUUCGGUACUAGGAUCGAUUGGAUCGUAAAGAUGUACGACUACAUCAACCGUGUUGUCAUAAUGCUUCGAAUGAGAUAACAACCUCGAAAUAGGUUGAACGGAUCUUGAAUGAAAAGAUGAGCCUUCUGAGAUAUCUUCAGCACUCCAGUACAAAUGAAUGGUGAGAAGUGAAUGAUUAAGAGGUGCAUCGGCAUGAGAAAGCAUUUGAAACAAGGAAAGGAAUAUGAUCAACACCGAAAGCUUGAAUUGAAUCCACCGGAGAAGAAAAAGGAUGAUGAAUGAUGAACUUGAAACUGUUGAGCAUCUUCACGAGGAAACACUAGAUAAGAACAUUGAAGGGAAAAAAUGGAGAGACUUAUCAUGAAUAAAAUGGAUAGUUGAUUUGAUAUCUCUGAGUCUUUGAAGAAAAAAGGUGGGAGGGCGGGAAAACAAAGGCAACUUGGGACGGAUGAAAUGAACAACGUUGGGAAAACUGAGAGGUGAUCUUGCGAAUGGGGAAAAUGAUAGGAUCAUCUUGACGAGAAGCGAACCGAUUGGAAAAGAAUUGACAUGACAAUCUCGAUAAACAAGAAGGAUUAGCAUCCAAAUAGAAAUAUGAGAACACCGUUUAGAAAAGGUAUGGAAUCCACAUUUUACUUCGAAGCAACUCGAAUACCACAACACGAAAUGAAACAAAGGAUUGGCUUGCAGAAUAAGCCGGAAACAAACAUAUGAUAGAGAUUUCGUCCGAAAUUUUCGUGGUGGGGCCCGCACGGGCUCGAUCGUACAUCACCAUUAUGUACAAGGCAGUGCACAUGACAUACAAAGCGUCCACGAGUCAGCAUAGCCAAGGACUCUUUAAGACACAAUGAGACCACUGUAAAACCAACCGUGGACAUGCGGACCACUAGAUGUCGAACCCCAAUCUCAUAUCAUGCAUCUGUCGGAACUAUAUCCUACAUAACUACUUCAAUUCCCACCUAUGAACUCCCGAAACUUUCUGAUUAUGCAAUCUGGUGUUGGGGAUACAGGGAGGCACAAAUAUAUCACACAACUAACAAGCCCUACGCUCCAACUGUAUCCAUCCGUCAACACAUAACCAAGAAACUUUCAGAAAUCGUGUACCUUAGACCUUCGAAAACAUCCGAUAUACUAGCUGUGGCAAUACAUCUGAUUGCUCUCCCUAGUACUGGGUGUCGUCAAACUACUCUCACCACAAAGAGUAUAGAAGCGUUUGCGAUGUCGGUGAACUCUGGUAUUCCGGAACUGAAACGAUAAACACUGUGAUAAAAACACCUUGAAGCUCAACUCCCAGGGACACUGCCACAACCCCUAAAUGCCAGGAGGCACCAAGACAAAAUUCCCGUCACAAUGAUAUCGUAACGAUCCAACAAUACCCGCGUGAUCCUUUUUUUUGAGUGAACAAGAGGAGAGUGAAGUCAAAACGUCUACGUCAGGAGUCCUCACCAGAGCGACGAAGGGGAUAAGGAGUAAAAAGAAUUCCUACUCUCCGAUAUAACUAAGACUCAAAACAGUUUUUUGCUUCUAGACUCAACAACGUCAGCGGUUCGAUCAAGCAGGGCUCCUAAGGUCGGUAAGGCUCUAAUACCAACUUGUAGCACCCAAGAUACGAUUCUAUCCCAAUCACGUGAUGAAUUCAUGAUUGGGGCACAAUCGCAUUUCAAGCGCAUAGCAAGGUGGAUAUCAUUACAACAUACCAUGUACUGGAUAGAUGAGAAUACAAGAUAAAGGCUUACAUUCGCCACAAACGACAACAGGAAUACAACAGUUCAUCAAUACAUAGCAAUCAUCAUACAAAAGAGCAGGAUCCGACUACGGAUGAAAUCAAACGAAAAAGAAGAACGACAUCCACCCUGCUAAUUCCAGGCUCACCGACCCGGAACCUAUCCCUUGAUCGAAGAAGAAGAAGAGGAACUCCAAACAAGAAAGCAUCACACUCGCGUCAGAUCAUCGCUUUACCCGCACCUGCAACUGUUGUUGUAGUAAUCUGUGAGCCACGAGAACUCAGCAAUCCCAUUACCAUGGGUACCAAGACUAGCAAAGCUUAAUGGGUAUGGAAAGGAUAAGUGGUGAGGUUGCAGCAAGCGACUAAGCAUUAUAUGGUGGCUAACUUACGAAUACAAGAGUAAGAUGAGAAACUAUGCAAACGGUCGCAAACUAGUAAUGAUCAAUAAGUGAUCCUGAACUACUUACGUUCAAACAUAAUCCCACCGUGUUCUCUUCUCGAACUCAUUCGAAAAGAGACCGUCACGGUUACACACGUGGUUGGUGUAUUUUAAUUCGAAUCUGGUGUCAAGUUCUCUACAAACGGACAUUACAAAUUCUCAUCUGCCACAUAAUCGCGGGCACGGCUUUCGAAAAUUUAAAUCCUGCAGGGGUGUCCCAACUUAGCCCAUGACAAGCUCACAAUCCACGGAGACAAUCCUCCAUCGCGGGACCCUCUGAUCAGACACGGAAUCCCGAUGCACAAGACAUGUCGACAAUGGUAAAACUAAUCCAGCAAGACCUCCCGGCGUGCCGACACCCUGAUAGUAGCCGCGCGUAUCUCGUCUAUGUCCACGUUCGGAUGGGUCAAGCUACGAGUAAAACCAGAUCCUCGUGUUUCCCCGUGGUGGCCCCGCAGGUUGCCCGGUUGGGACCAACACCAACAGCGCUGGGCCCCCUGUAUUAUGUUGAAUUACUCCUCGGGUAUCGCUAACUCCCUACGCGUAAAAUUUAAUAUUAAGUUUAGUUAUUAUGUGGGGCAAAUGGUAAAACCAAUGUUGGGCCUUACUGGAAGAGUUUUAUUCAAAGCAAACUGUCAAGAGGGGCUCAUAAACUCUCAUCGACGCAAAAUGAAGGAACAUAACACCGGUAUGACGGAAACUAGGGCGGCAAGAGUGGAACAAAACACCAGGCAAAAGGCCAAGCCUUCCACCCUUUACAAAGUAUAUAGAUGCAUUAAUUAAAUAAGAGAUAUUUUGAUAUCCCAUGAUAUUCAUGUCCCAACAUGGAACAACUGCAACUACACAUGUAACUAGCAACGCUAUAAGAGGGCUAAGCAAAGCAGUAACAUAGCCAAACAACGAUUUGCUAGGAAGGGUGAAAAGGUUAGAGGCUAUCAUGGCAAUUUGGGAGGCUUGAUAAACAAGUGGUAGGUAGCGCGACAUAUCGAUAGCAUCGAGACAACUAGCAUAGCAAAGAUAGUAGUGAGAUACAAGGUGACGGUCAUCUUGCCUGAAAUCCCGCUAGGAAGAAGACUGGAUCCAUGAAGUAGUCGAACAACGUAGUCGAAUGGAUCCUCACAAUCGCAACGAAACCGGGAACUAUCAAGAAGAAGCAACACCGGAAAGAAGCAAACAACAUAUGGUAAACAACCAUCACAUCAACAUGACAUGAUGCACAAUCAAGUAUGAUGCAUGUCCGGUUUAUGAGUCAUGGCAUGGCAAAGUGCAACAAACAACACCACAAGUUAAGUGGAGUUCAAUAUGCAACGAGUUGCAUAUUAACGAAACACCACAUUUAAUUAUUUAGGUCACUCUUGUUUAAGCUACUCAACAAUAUUAAAUGUUGUUAAACAUGGCAAGAGGUAAAGCACAAUAAAACUAACUAUCUAGGCAAGUUUAAAUGAGGCCGGAACAAUAAACAACAAUUCCGGUAAUUCCCCAUGUCAUUUAGCAACUUAAUGCACACAACAGUUUUAAACAAUUUAAAUGUUGUUAUCAUGAUGCGGAUGACCUAUACAAGUUUUAUGCAAUUUUAAGAAAAUGUCGACAUGAGCAUGUUAUGGGGCAUUUGGUCACCGUGGUGUUAGGAAAGGGGUGCCACGACGAUGAAUCCAAAAAAAAGAUGCCACGGCAACAUAUCGGUGAUCCGACAACUCGUCGAGAUGCCGAUGCAAAAGAAGGGUGGCGGGAGUGUGUCAUGCAAAGAUGGUGGGGUGCUUCCGGAUACCGGGUUCCCACAUGUCGGUGGCAUGGAAACGAGGAGGAACGUGCAAGCGACAACUCAGACAUGGUGCAAACACGGGCAUCUCAUACAUCACACAUGCAUUCGUUCACGGGCGUCGUCUCGGGGUUAUACCUUUGAAGCGUGCAUUCGGGAUGGAUCGAGUUCGUCGAAGGAAGUAGUAGUACACGGGCCGUAGUGAAAGUAGUCCUUCUCGCGACGGUAGUGGAAGUAGUGGUACAUACGACGGUAGUCGAACUUGCUGCUUGUGGUACACGGGUCUUCGGCGACGGUAGUCGUACCCACGUUGUAGUCGAACUUGGCGGGUCGUCGUGUAGUCGUUCACUUGACGGUCUUGUCGGGUCCACCACGAGGGUAGAGCUACACUUGUUGGAGAGGGACUUGGCGCAUCCUUGUUCUUUCAGGUUCGUAGUUGUACUUGGCGUUCGGAGUCCGGGUCUUGCCGGUGGUGUACUUGGCGAACCCGGGGGGUAUGCCUUGGCGCAGUUGCGCGAAGCGAAGAAGAUGAACUUGGUGGCAAAGUAUCUCGUGCUCACAUAACAACGAAGACACACGGAGGCGCUGGACGCACACGCGUGGUGGAGGCCUCAGGCAGGAAGUUGCGUGUCCAGUCGGUGGAGUUGCAGUAGAGCAGGCAAAGGGUUGCAGGGGCCGGCUACAAAGGCAGAGCAGCAGCAUGGCGAUGAGCCCACGGCGGCUACCAUGGAGCCGGCGGCCAGAGUUUGAAGGCGAGCAGGGCAAGGCAAAAGGAAGCGGAGGCCGAUCAGGAUGUGGACGAGGAAGACGCGGUCAACGGGCGAAGCAGGACAUGGCUCUGGUCGUCGUCCUCGAGUGCUCGCAGAAGCAGGGAAGCGACGCGGCGAACUUGGCGCGGAGGAAGGAGGUCCUGCGGUGGCCCAAGGGCGCAGGGCGUCUGGGAGGCCGGAUCCGGUCGCCGGGGUCCCGUUCCCUGCCGGAUCGAAGCG